rnacentral:lncRNA from 1 species
AUUUUUCUUUGCCAGGGGCUUCCUCUUCACACCUGCCUCUUCUUUUACCUCCAGAGUUAAUCUGGGAUGCCUUUCCAGAUUAUCAUCAGAGAGGAACGAAUAAGCAGAGAGCAAAGUAGCAGCUGAGAAAUGUAUCUGCCUAACAGAACCUUCUAAGAGAAAGUGAAAUAGACAAAGGACAAGAGGCCAAGCAGAGAACAUCCCUGGGCUAAUCAGCCAUAGCCAAAAGGUAGGCGUACAGCAGCCAAAGGGCCCUUUCAGAGAUGAGAGUCUAUGGGUUGGACUUGUCUGUAACAACAGAUGCUGAAGAGCAUUUUCUUCGGUUCAUAAAGAAGGUCAAAUCCCAUUUGGUCGAUAACUGCACCACAGCUGGAAGGAAGUACCGAGGGGUGAGAGCAGGCUAACAUGAAAAACAAGUAAAAGACAAAGAGUGGGGUCAGCGAGCAGCUUGGAUCAAUGAAGCCCAAACUCUGGGAAAAUGUAUCUCUGGGUGAACCCCAGGCUUCCAGGAAUCAAUCAACAGCCCUUGAAAAAUUGUGUCUUCCAUAAAAAUGUCACCUGAGCCUUCAGUGUCACAAUGAAGGUGCCAAUAGCCAGGCACAAAAUAAAUGGCCCAUUAAUACUCA